rnacentral:ncRNA from 1 species
AAAUUGAAGAGUUUGAUCAUGGCUCAGAUUGAACGCUGGCGGCAGGCCUAACACAUGCAAGUCGAGCGGUAGCACAGAGAGCUUGCUCUCGGGUGACGAGCGGCGGACGGGUGAGUAAUGUCUGGGAAACUGCCUGAUGGAGGGGGAUAACUACUGGAAACGGUAGCUAAUACCGCAUAAUGUCGCAAGACCAAAGUGGGGGACCUUCGGGCCUCAUGCCAUCAGAUGUGCCCAGAUGGGAUUAGCUAGUAGGUGGGGUAACGGCUCACCUAGGCGACGAUCCCUAGCUGGUCUGAGAGGAUGACCAGCCACACUGGAACUGAGACACGGUCCAGACUCCUACGGGAGGCAGCAGUGGGGAAUAUUGCACAAUGGGCGCAAGCCUGAUGCAGCCAUGCCGCGUGUGUGAAGAAGGCCUUCGGGUUGUAAAGCACUUUCAGCGGGGAGGAAGGCGGUGAGGUUAAUAACCUCACCGAUUGACGUUACCCGCAGAAGAAGCACCGGCUAACUCCGUGCCAGCAGCCGCGGUAAUACGGAGGGUGCAAGCGUUAAUCGGAAUUACUGGGCGUAAAGCGCACGCAGGCGGUCUGUCAAGUCGGAUGUGAAAUCCCCGGGCUCAACCUGGGAACUGCAUUCGAAACUGGCAGGCUAGAGUCUUGUAGAGGGGGGUAGAAUUCCAGGUGUAGCGGUGAAAUGCGUAGAGAUCUGGAGGAAUACCGGUGGCGAAGGCGGCCCCCUGGACAAAGACUGACGCUCAGGUGC